rnacentral:lncRNA from 1 species
CUUUAACGUGAUUAGUGCUUAUGAACCCCAAGAAGCGCUAGAUGAACAUCAAAAGAUAAAUUUUUGGGAGGAUUUGCUUGGUCAAGACAAUGCAUUUUGGGAGAAACAGUAGAUGAAUUGAAGGUUAUGAUGGUGGAUAUGAGAUAAGAGAAGCAAAUAAUGAAGGUAGAACUACUUUAAAUUUCUCCUAAGCUUUUUAUUUUAUAAUAGUCGAUAUGUUUUUAAGAUGUGGGAGGAGCAUUAAUCACAUAAGAGAGAGUUGUUGCAAUUUCUU